UUGAACCAGCCAAGUAGCGUGAAGGAUGACUGCCCUAUGGGUUGUAAACUUCUUUUAUAUGGGAAUAAAGUUUUCCACGUGUGGAAUUUUGUAUGUACCAUAUGAAUAAGGAUCGGCUAACUCCGUGCCAGCAGCCGCGGUAAUACGGAGGAUCCGAGCGUUAUCCGGAUUUAUUGGGUUUAAAGGGAGCGUAGGUGGACAGUUAAGUCAGUUGUGAAAGUUUGCGG
rnacentral:rRNA from 1 species